AGCGAACGCUGGCGGUAGGCCUAACACAUGCAAGUCGAACGGCAGCACAGUAAGAGCUUGCUCUUACGGGUGGCGAGUCGCGGACGGGAGAGGAAUACAUCGGAAUCUACUUUUUCGUGUGGGUUAACGUAGGGAAACUUACGCUAAUACCGCAUACGACCUACGGGUGAAAGCAGGGGAUCUUCGGACCUUGCGCGAAUGAAUGAGCCGAUGUCGGACUAGCUAGUUGGCGGGGUAAAGGCCCACCUAGGCGACGAUCCGUAGCUGGUCUGAGAGGAGGAUCAGCCACCCUGGAACGGAGACACGCUCCAGACGCCUACGGGAGGCAGCAGUGGGGAAUAGUGGACAAUGGGCGCAAGCCUGAUCCAGCCAGACCGCGUGUGUGAAGGAGGCGUUCGGUUUGUAAAGCCCUUUUGUUGGGAAAGAAACGCAGCCGGUUGUUACCCCGCGGUUCUGACGGUACCCAAAGAAUAAGCACCGGCUAACUUCGUG
rnacentral:rRNA from 1 species